CCUACGGGAGGCAGCAGUGGGGAAUAUUGCACAAUGGGCGCAAGCCUGAUGCAGCCAUGCCGCGAGUGUGAAGAAGGCUUUCGGGUUGUAAAGCACUUUCAGCGAGGAGGAAAGGGUAAAUCUUAAUAGGGUUUAUCUGUGACGUUACUCGCAGAAGAAGCACCGGCUAACUCCGUGCCAGCAGCCGCGGUAAUACGGAGGGUGCGAGCGUUAAUCGGAAUUACUGGGCGUAAAGCGCGCGUAGGCGGUUAAUUAAGUCAGAUGUGAAAUCCCAGGGCUCAACCUUGGAACUGCAUUUGAAACUGGUUAACUAGAGUUUUGUAGAGGGUGGUAGAAUUUCAGGUGUAGCGGUGAAAUGCGUAGAGAUCUGAAGGAAUACCAGUGGCGAAGGCGGCCACCUGGACAAAGACUGACGCUGAGGCGCGAAGGCGUGGGGAGCAAACGGGAUUAGAUACCCCGGUAGUCCACGCAGUAAACGAUGUCUAUUAGAAUUUUGUGGCUAUAUGCCGUGGGAUUCAAAGCUAACGCAUUAAAUAGACCGCCUGGGGAGUACGGCCGCAAGGUUAAAACUCAAAUGAAUUGACGG
rnacentral:rRNA from 1 species